GUCCCUGGAGGUGUUUAGGGGGAGAGUGGACGUGGCACUUGCAGUGCCAUGGUCUGGUUGACGAGAUGGUGGUGGGGCACAGGUUGAACUCGCUGAUCUCAGAGGCCUUUUUCGACCUCGUUGAUGCUGUGGUUCUGUGAUCUCCUCAUCUCUACCUCAUCAAAUCUCUCCCUCCUGUUUGUGCCCCUCACUGUGUUAUGGAGGACACUGAUGGCAUGGCAGACCCCCAGAAUCCUGGGCUGUCCCUGUGAGGAGGGGUUAUCCUCCACAGGAGAGAUGCCAUGUCUGUGAAGGAAGUGAUCACCUGCAGAACCCCAACAAUUACACUACACCAAUUACACUGCAUAAAUCAGACCCACCAAUGAUGUGAUUUCUUAAAGUUCGUUCCAAUGGGAGGGAGGAGGAAAUUCUCAAUAACUCCAGAGAUUUCACAGAUUCACACAAAACGGUUCCUGUGCCUUUGAUCAUCAGCAUUACACUUGCCACCAUCAUUUGUCAAAUGCUUCUCUACAUCACGUAGAUGGAAAAGAAACUUCAGAAAAAUGAUCCCUGUCAAUUCCCCAAGGAUGGAUUUUCCAGGUACUGGGAGGUGAGAAGCACCCUGGCUGGGGAAGACCAUGUACUUCUACCCAAAUCCCCCUUCAUGUGUGAUGCCUCAGGCUCCGAUGAUCUCCCUUCUCCUUUAAUUCGAGUUCUGAAAAGCAAUGGGCAACUUGGUUUGGACCUUCUCAAGUCAAAUCAUCACCACCAAGAAGUAGAACUACUAGUGAGAACAAGGAAACAAAGCACCUUAAUCCCCACCCUUCUAUCUCAUCCCUGGCUUUUUAAAGCAAAACUCCAAACCCAACGGGUACUUCACAGAACAAAAGAUGAGUUGUGAUUCCCAAUGGACCUUAAGUUUUAUUUUUAGAGAUGAUGCAACAUCACAGAGACAUAGGAGGAAGGGCAUCAUGGGGAUUGAUAGUCCUGUUGUAUUUUGUUCUUGUCACUUCUUCCCCCUCCCUCCUUGAAAAUCCUGCAGGCCCAGGAGGAGGAUUUUUGGGGGAGGUGGGAUGAAGUUGGCCAAGGCCUGAGCAUAGCAUGAAAGAACUGAAGGCAGGAAUGGCACCAAGUGAGACACACGUUAAGGCAGCAUCACAAAUAGAACAAAUGUGCUAAAAAAGACAGGAAAAUACUCUAGAAUUUAUGAGAACAUAUGGGAGUUAGAUGUGCUCAGAAAGGCUGAAAACAGCUUCAGCUGCACCAGCAGUGGUCUCACCACCAAUCAAACAGAUCCCAAAUCACAGAGCAGGUUUAUACAAACCUCAUCUCUGUAUGGCUUUUCUUUUUACAUAGCAACAGAGAAAACUCUGAGAAACUGGAGCUGACAAUGAUCAGUGCUAAAACCUGCGAAGGAACUGGCCAGACAGCAGCACUGGGAGCAAGCAGCGGGCGGAGAAGCCACACUGGGAACUACAAAGGCUCCACUCCUGCAGGGUCCGGGCUGCAGCAGAGGGGAGCAAAGCAAAGCUUUUUGUCCCUCUGAGCUCCUCCUCUUCAAUGCACCAAGCUGAAGGGAAGUGAAUGGGGAAGCAUCAUAGUGAAAAUUCCUGAGAAAUUCCAUCUCUGGGAGAAAAAAAUUCCAUGUGUUGUUUCUUAAAAUAUUUCCAUACUUUGUUUCAUUCUUGUACUGCAGUUUUAUAAGGAUGAAAUCUAGAUUUUGCAGAGCUCUUUGGCUUAAUUCUCCACCCUCUGAUGAAGAGGGCAGGGAACACAGGCAUUCCAUAUAUAUGCUCUUCAUGCUGGGAUUUUAAAACAUUAAGUUUUUUGACACCAAAGCAGCUACAGGCAGAAGGUGCGUACUCCUGCACAUCAGCAAGCAUUAGCCUACAAAACCAACUCCAGCCCCUUUAAAACUGAGAGUUAUUUUGCACUGAGUCCAAUGCAAUAACCAAAAGCACACAUUAAUUUGGUGUGAACGAGUGCGUUGUGUUACUGGCUCAGACCCUGCGGGUCUGAGUGCUUUGCUCAGGCUUUGCUCUUCAUUAAUUCUGGCUUAGCCCUGGGAAUAGAAAAUACCUUUUGCCUACAGCAAAAGGUGUGCCUUCACUGUGCUGUGCCUUCCCUGUUCCUGAUGCUGAUCAUUCCCUCUGUUCCCCAAAUAGCUUCCAAACCUCCUGUUUCACAAGGUAGUAACUCCUAUCCUCAUCAGAUCUUUUUUUUUUUUUUUCUUUUUCUCCUGACUGUAAACCACAAUUUCUCUUUGCUUUCCUUGCUGGACCCACAGCCCAUACUCCAAAGCCUUUCUGAGCAAUGUGAAAUUCCACGCUGACAUGGAAAUUCCCCACUCUGCUCAAUUAUAUAGACUGAGAGGCACAGAAGCCUCCUUGAGAGGUGAGCAGGAAGGUUUCCCUUCUAGAUAUGUGCGGAGCUCCAGCCAGUGUUCAAGAGGACUAAAAAAUGUCAAGAUUUCAUACUAAAACUCACCUUUCCCAAGAUGAUUUCCACAGGAAUCAUCUAUUUAAGAACAACAGAUGCUGCGGAUAUGAAAAGCCACUGACACUUUUAGGGAGUGAGCAAAGUGGACGCUGUGUGCCAAGAGACAGCAGGAGAAGAUCAAAGAGUUCCAGCUUUCAGUGUCUCUUCACACAGAUGGACCUGGGAGCAGCAGAGGACACUGUCCCACUCCUAGAUCGACCUCCUACACGGUGGAUCUCUACACAGUAUUACAUGGAUAUUCUAAAUAUAUUCUGCCACUCACAAGAAACUGCUGCAGUUACAAAAGCAGCACCUUAGCCUUGAGGAACAGUGGCAGGAGGCCUCGUACUCCUGGGUUUUUAGACAUCCGGUUUUGAUUUGCAUCUACAGCCUUUUAGUGAUGUGUGGAAUGGUAUUCUGGAUCUAGGAAUGCCCACUAACAUCCUCAGAAGUCUGCAGCACAGAGCAGCACCAUUGUGUAAGUCAAUAAGGUGAAUUUGACUUUGUACAGCAGAGAUUCAAAUACAGUCACAUCCUCAAAUAACAAAACAGAGACCCUUACCCAUGAUAAACAAUGAGGGGUUUAAAAUUGAUGAGUCUUCAGUUUCUCAAGCAGCUUUUGGAAUUUUUAAUUUGUUCUACCUGCAAAAAUUCAUUCCUUCUGACCUGAACAGACACCACUUCCUUUUCUCAGCAUGACUGGUUACAUGACAUGCUUUUCCCAGAGAUAAUUGCUGGCUUUAUUUUUAUUGGAAAUGAUGGAUGCAGCAGGUGAUAAGUAAAAAAGGGCAAUUUA